rnacentral:rRNA from 1 species
UUAAGUGACUAAGCGUACACGGUGGAUGCCUUGGCAGUCAGAGGCGAUGAAAGACGUAGUAACUUGCGAUAAGCCCAGAUUAGGUAGUAACAACCAUUUGAGUCUGGGAUUUCUGAAUGGGGAAACCCACGUGCAUAAGCACGUAUCCUUACCUGAAUACAUAGGGUAAGGAGGCGAACCGGGGGAACUGAAACAUCUAAGUACCCCGAGGAAAAGAAAUCAACCGAGAUUCCGAAAGUAGCGGCGAGCGAAAUUGGACUAGCCCUUAAGCUUUACACGCGUUAGACGAACGGUCUGGAAAGUCCGACGAUACAGGGUGAUAGUCCCGUAGUUGACGACGUGUGUUCAGUGAAAUCGAGUAGGGCGGGACACGUGAUAUCCUGUCUGAAUAUGGGGGGACCAUCCUCCAAGGCUAAAUACUACUGACUGACCGAUAGUGAACCAGUACCGUGAGGGAAAGGCGAAAAGAACCCCUGUGAGGGGAGUGAAAUAGAACCUGAAACCGUGUACGUACAAGCAGUAGGAGCAGGCUUUGUCCUGUGACUGCGUACCUUUUGUAUAAUGGGUCAGCGACUUAUAUUCAGUGGCAAGGUUAACCAUCUAGGGGAGCCGUAGGGAAACCGAGUCUUAACUGGGCGUUCAGUCUCUGGAUAUAGACCCGAAACCAGGUGAUCUAGCCAUGGGCAGGUUGAAGGUUGAGUAACAUCAACUGGAGGACCGAACCGACUAAUGUUGAAAAAUUAGCGGAUGACUUGUGGCUAGGGGUGAAAGGCCAAUCAAACCUGGAGAUAGCUGGUUCUCCCCGAAAGCUAUUUAGGUAGCGCCUCGGACGAAUACUACUGGGGGUAGAGCACUGUUAAGGCUAGGGGGUCAUCCCGACUUACCAACCCUUUGCAAACUCCGAAUACCAGUAAGUACUAUCCGGGAGACACACGGCGGGUGCUAACGUCCGUCGUGGAGAGGGAAACAACCCAGACCGCCAGCUAAGGUCCCAAAUUACUACUAAGUGGGAAACGAUGUGGGAAGGCUCAGACAGCCAGGAUGUUGGCUUAGAAGCAGCCAUCAUUUAAAGAAAGCGUAAUAGCUCACUGGUCGAGUCGGCCUGCGCGGAAGAUGUAACGGGGCUAAGUAGUAAACCGAAGCUGCGGCAAUGUGCUUUUGCACAUUGGGUAGGGGAGCGUUCUGUAAGCGGUUGAAGGUGUGUGGUAACGCAUGCUGGACGUAUCAGAAGUGCGAAUGCUGACAUGAGUAACGAUAAAGGGGGUGAAAAACCUCCUCGCCGGAAGACCAAGGGUUCCUGUCCAACGUUAAUCGGGGCAGGGUAAGUCGACCCCUAAGGCGAGGCCGAAAGGCGUAGUCGAUGGGAAACGGGUUAAUAUUCCCGUACUUCUUACAAUUGCGAUGGGGGGACGGAGAAGGCUAGGUGGGCCUGGCGACGGUCGUCCAGGUUCAAGUGCGUAGGCUUAAGAGUUAGGUAAAUCCGGCUCUUUUUAAGGCUGAGACACGACGUCGAGCACCUACGGGUGUGAAGUCAUUGAUGCCAUGCUUCCAGGAAAAGCCUCUAAGCUUCAGAUUGUAAGGAAUCGUACCCCAAACCGACACAGGUGGUCGGGUAGAGAAUACCAAGGCGCUUGAGAGAACUCGGGUGAAGGAACUAGGCAAAAUGGUACCGUAACUUCGGGAGAAGGUACGCUCUUGAUGGUGAAGUCCCUCGCGGAUGGAGCUGACGAGAGUCGCAGAUACCAGGUGGCUGCAACUGUUUAUUAAAAACACAGCACUGUGCAAAAUCGUAAGAUGACGUAUACGGUGUGACGCCUGCCCGGUGCCGGAAGGUUAAUUGAUGGGGUUAGACUUCGGUCGAAGCUCUUGAUCGAAGCCCCGGUAAACGGCGGCCGUAACUAUAACGGUCCUAAGGUAGCGAAAUUCCUUGUCGGGUAAGUUCCGACCUGCACGAAUGGCGUAAUGAUGGCCACGCUGUCUCCACCCGAGACUCAGUGAAAUUGAAAUCGCUGUGAAGAUGCAGUGUACCCGCGGCUAGACGGAAAGACCCCGUGAACCUUUACUACAGCUUGGCACUGAACAUUGACCCUACAUGUGUAGGAUAGGUGGGAGGCUUUGAAGCACGUACGCCAGUAUGUGUGGAGCCGUCCUUGAAAUACCACCCUUGUAGUGUUGAUGUUCUAACGUCGACCCCUUAUCGGGGUUGCGGACAGUGCCUGGUGGGUAGUUUGACUGGGGCGGUCUCCUCCCAAAGAGUAACGGAGGAGCACGAAGGUGGGCUAAUCACGGUUGGACAUCGUGAGGUUAGUGCAAUGGCAUAAGCCCGCUUGACUGCGAGAAUGACAAUUCGAGCAGGUGCGAAAGCAGGUCAUAGUGAUCCGGUGGUUCUGAAUGGAAGGGCCAUCGCUCAACGGAUAAAAGGUACUCCGGGGAUAACAGGCUGAUACCGCCCAAGAGUUCAUAUCGACGGCGGUGUUUGGCACCUCGAUGUCGGCUCAUCACAUCCUGGGGCUGAAGUCGGUCCCAAGGGUAUGGCUGUUCGCCAUUUAAAGUGGUACGCGAGCUGGGUUUAGAACGUCGUGAGACAGUUCGGUCCCUAUCUGCCGUGGGCGUUGGAAGAUUGAAGGGGGCUGCUCCUAGUACGAGAGGACCGGAGUGGACGAACCUCUGGUGUUCGGGUUGUGUCGCCAGACGCAUUGCCCGGUAGCUAAGUUCGGAAUCGAUAACCGCUGAAAGCAUCUAAGCGGGAAGCGAGCCCUGAGAUGAGUCUUCCCUGAUACUUUAAGUAUCCUAAAGGGUUGUCGGAGACUACGACGUUGAUAGGUCAGGUGUGUAAGUGCUGUGAGGCAUUGAGCUAACUGAUACUAAUUGCCCGUGAGGCUUAACCA